UACGUAGGGAGCAAGCGUUGUCCGGAAUCAUUGGGCGUAAAGCGCGCGUAGGUGGCCACAUAAGUCCGUUGUGAAAGUCAAAGGCUCAACCUUUGAAAGCCGAUGGAUACUGUGUGGCUAGAGUACGGAAGAGGCGAGUGGAAUUCCUGGUGUAGCGGUGGAAUGCGCAGAUAUCAGGAGGAACACCAAUAGCGAAGGCAGCUCGCUGGGACGUUACUGACACUGAGGCGCGAAAGCGUGGGGAGCGAACAGG
rnacentral:rRNA from 1 species